AGCCAAUGAUGUUAGAUAUUUUCCGUACCAUAUGAGAGAUCUACUCGUUGAUGAAUCUCUAAAAAAUUUCUGAGGUUG